AGUGAACGCUGGCGGUAGGCCUAACACAUGCCAGUCGAACGGCAGCACAGUAAGAGCUUGCUCUUACGGGUGGCGAGUGGCGGACGGGUGAGGAAUACAUCGGAAUCUACUUUUUCGUGGGGGAUAACGUAGGGAAACUUACGCUAAUACCGCAUACGACCUACGGGUGAAAGCAGGGGAUCUUCGGACCUUGCGCGAUUGAAUGAGCCGAUGUCGGAUUAGCUAGUUGGCGGGGUAAAGGCCCACCAAGGCGACGAUCCGUAGCUAGACUGAGAGGAUGAUCAGCCACACUGGAACUGAGACACGGUACAGACAGCUACGGGAGGCAACAGUGGCGAAUAUUGGACAAUGGGCGCAAGCCUGCGCCGGCCACACCGGGUGUCAGAAGAAAGCCUUCCGGUUGUAAAGCCCUUUUGUUGGGAAAGAAAAGCAGCAAAUUAAUACCCCGCUGUUCUGACGGUACCCAAAGAAUAAGCACCGGCUAACUUCAUG
rnacentral:rRNA from 1 species